AUUGAACGCUGGCGGCAUGCCUUACACAUGCAAGUCGAACGGCAGCACGGGAGCAAUCCUGGUGGCGAGUGGCGAACGGGUGAGUAAAGUAUCGGAACGUGCCCAGUCGUGGGGGAUAACGUAGCGAAAGUUACGCUAAUACCGCAUACGAUCUAUGGAUGAAAGCGGGGGAUCGCAAGACCUCGCGCGAUUGGAGCGGCCGAUAUCAGAUUAGGUAGUUGGUGGGGUAAAGGCUCACCAAGCCGACGAUCUGUAGCUGGUCUGAGAGGCCGACCAGCCCAACUGGGACUAAGACAGGGCCCAGACUCCGACGGGAGGCAGCAGUGGGGAAUUGUGGGCAAUGGGCGCAAGCCUGAUCCAGCCAUGCCGCGUGCAGGAUGAAGGCCUUCGGGUUGUAAACUGCUUUUGUACGGAACGAAAAGGUUUGACUUAAUACGUUGGACUCAUGACGGUACCGUAAGAAUAAGCACCGGCUAACUACGUGCCAGCAGCCGCCGUAA
rnacentral:rRNA from 1 species